rnacentral:misc_RNA from 1 species
CUUUGACACCCGUAUUUCUUAUCAAAUAAAUCGAAAUAAAUUUAUAAUUGCAAAGCAGAAUAAGUUCAUUUUAGAGAGUAAUUGUUAUGGGUUCACUUAUUCUUUACGACUUUUGAUAAAACUAUAUGGUUACAAUGUUAAGGUUGCAAAAAAGCUAUUUUUGUGUUGUGGUUUGUUUAAUAUUAUUUAUAGGACAAAGUUUUGCAUAUGAGUAUGUAGUGUUUAGGGAUGGUACAGCUUCAAGACCCUCAAUUGUUAAAAGGAAUACCGAAUCUGAUCCUCCAAGAAUUAAAGAAUUUCUGGUCACCACAAAUGUAUCUAACCAUUUUGCAGUAACUAGUGUUGUAAGUAACGUGGAAAACGCAGAUAGAAAUGCAAAGCAAACAGCUUUUUCGGUGGUUCUACCAGAUAGAGCUUUUAUUUCAGGAUUUUCUAUGGAAAUUGAUGGAAUACAAUACAAGGCAUUCGUGAAAGAAAAGGAGAUAGCUAAAAAAAUUUAUGACGAGUCUGUAGCAACAGGACAAAGUGCUGGACAUGUCGCUGUGAGUACGAAAAAUUCCAACAGAUUCACCGUAACCGUCAACGUAGAACCCCUAAGCAAGGUCAUCUUUAAAUUAGAAUAUGAAGAACUAUUGCAAAGAGAAAAUGGACAGUACCAAAUCAUUAGCAAUAUUCAACCUGGACAAAUGGUUAAAAAACUAAAGGUCAUGGUGAUAAUCAGGGAAAAUCAACCUCUAGCUUUCUUGAACACGCCGUAUCUUCAAGCAGGUAGCUCAUCGAUGGAACUGGCACAAACAACUAUAGAUCCUGAUGCACGUGUCUAUAAGAAAAAUAAUUCAGCUCUGAUAAUCUUCGAACCGAAUAUUGAAAGACAAGUGGAGUUUGCGUGCAAUGGACUCGGAAAUACAGAAUAUAAUGGAUUUGCUGGACAGUUUAUUGUUAAUUAUGAUGUUAAUAGGACAAAUGAAGGUGGAGAAGUACUUUAUCAAGAUAAUUUCUUCUUCAUUUCCUUCGCACCACACAGUUUAGAUCCCAUCCCCAAACAUAUGGUUUUUAUACUUGACACUAGCGGAAGUAUGUACGGUUUUAAAAUUAGCCAACUCAAGGAUGCAAUGUCCAAGAUUUUGCCUCAGUUAAACGAAGAUGAUGUCUUCACUGUUCUUCAAUUUGAGGACUAUGUUUUUGAUUGGGAUGAAUACAAAAAUAAAAAUGAUGUGUUUGGUCACGCGGACCCGGAAAAUCUGCCUUAUGGAAAUUUGGCUGAUCGGUUUCAGUCGUAUACUCCUUCGAUAAUUCAAGCCACCAAGAAAAAUAUAGCAACCAUGACGGACGUUAUUAAUGACUUUUAUGAUUCUGGUGGUACUAACAGUAUAGGAGCUUUAGAAGUUGGGCUAAUGGCUGUCUCAAAGACUCAACAACUUUACCCGAAUAAAUAUUUACCUAUUAUUGUCUUUCUCACAGACGGAAUGCCAAAUACUGGCGUUCGUGAUACAACUCUCAUCACUGAAAUGAUUAAAAAAUUAAACAAAGCUAGCUACGAUGUUCCGAUAUAUUCUCUUUCUUUUGGAAAAAAACCAGAUAUAGACCGAAAAUUCCUGCAAGAUUUAAGUGGACUUAAAGCCAAAGAACAUCAAAUUACUGUGGAUUUGAAUUCAUCGAUAUAUAUUCAAGACUUCUACAAAACUAUUUCAGUUCCUAUUUUAAAGAAUGUCGGUGUCAAAAAUUUACCUGCAUCGGCUGAAGUUACACAAAUUAAUUUUCCAAUAUUUUUUAAUGGAUCGGAAUUGGUGAUUGCUGGAAAAGGAAUUGGUGGUAAAAAUUCUCCACCAAUAACGAUUUCAGCAACCUCCAAGAAAGGUCCCAUGGACUUUGAAGCAGAGAUAGGUAUUCCUAUGGUAAAAUUGGAACGAAUUUGGGCCUAUUUAACAGUAAAACAAUUGGCUGAUCAAUAUCACGUCACAGGAAAUACAACACUCGCUAAAAUUGGCUUAGAAAUAGCUAUGAACUAUUCCUUGGUCACCGAUUUUACCUCUUUGGUCGUAGUUAAACCAAAUACCCCUAAUGAAACUGUGAACAUUGAAGAUGCUUACGAGGGGAUCAUUCCAAGAAAGCCUAGUGAAUUACCAAUGUGCAGCAAUAUCACAAGCUACAUUAUAGAAGAAUUUAGCACGCCAGAACCAGAACCAGAACCAACAGAGACUCCGUUUAAUCCAGAUGAUUUACUUGAAGUUGACAGUGGUUUUCUAGUUGUAGAACCUAUUAUAGAAGAAAUAACUACCACCACGAUUACGACAACCCCUACUACAACAAUUACGACAACGACACCUACAACAACUACUCGAGAACUGACCUGCCAUGAAUCCACAUAUGGUUGCUGCCAUGACGGUGUAACAUUUGCGCUAAGACCUAAUUUUGAUGGAUGUGACCCUAUUCCUAAAGCUGAAAGUUGCUCAUUACGUCAAGAUAGUGGAAACUGUGCAAACUCUACCUUUAAAUGGUUUUAUAGUACUCUAAGACAUCAAUGUAGACAGUUCAGAUAUGGCGGAUGUGGUGGAAACGAUAAUAGGUUUGCAAGUAAAGAAACAUGUGAAGAAACUUGCGUCAAUCCAACGGGUCCAGAAAGAUGUAAACUUCCAAUAUCUUUGGGUGGGUGUAAUCACCGAUUACUUCAUUGGUUUUAUGAUCAAUCACAACAGACAUGUGUAAAAUACAUGUAUGGUGGUUGUUUGGGCAAUUCCAACAGGUUUGAGUCGAAAGAAGAGUGUUUAAAAUUAUGCAACCUGAAUACGUAUACGGAAAAUUUAAACGAUGCCUGUUUUAAACCAAAAGACAAAGGUCAUUCACAUUGCCGUAGAUUCGAAAUUAACUAUUAUUUUGACCAGAGUAUUGGAUUAUGCAGAAAAUUUUGGUUCACCGGAUGUGGAGGAAAUGAUAAUCGAUUUAAGACUAAGGCAUUAUGUGAAAAUUUCUGUGUUCGGUCCAAACAUGAAGCAAUGUGUUUCGCACCACCUGACAGAGGAACAUGCAGUAACUUGAAUCAAGCUUGGUUUUAUGAUCCAAGAAGUGCCAUUUGUCAACCUUUCGUUUAUAGCGGAUGUGGAGGAAACGAAAACAGAUUUGAUUCCAAAGAUGACUGUGAGAAUGCGUGUAUUGUAGGAUAAUUAAUAUCAUACAAUGCUCGAAUGUAUUUAUAAAUUAUUUUUAUUUAUAUAGAUCGAAUGUAAUAUGGAAUACAUAGAAGCACUCAAGUGUCCUUCGUGCUGCUUCAAAACCUACAGUUUUGCUAUUCUCAAAGACCAUUGCGAAACACAACACAAUAUAGAUCCCAAAAGAAAGUACUUCUGUGAUAAAUGCCCAUAUACUUCAGCAAAGCGAUGGAAGAUUAUAGAACAUCAAAAGUUUCACAGUGAUAUACCAGGGUUGUAUUUACAUGCUUGCACACUUUGCUCGUUUCGAGCCCCUCACAAAGCCCAACUGGAGAGACAUAUCAUGUUUACCCAUUCACACGAAGUUGACUUGAGAAAAUUUUCUUGCAAAUAUUGUGGGGAAACGUAUACAUCUAAGUCGGCUCUGAAGCAACAUAGACAAAAAGGACAUUAUGUGUGAAAGGAACGUAUUAUGGCUUAUAUUAUAAACUCAGAAUGGAACUGGUGACGUAAUGCAAAAUAUGCAUUUUAUUUAAUACAAAGAGAUAGGUAUAAGAUUUUGAUAGGUAUCUUAUAAGAAAACUUAUGGUUUGUACAUUAUGACUAAGUAGAAUAAAGAAUAUAAUAUUUACACAUAAGUAAAUACAUGUUAAAGAACAA